rnacentral:lncRNA from 1 species
CUCCAUCUUGCUUCUAACCUCCAAGCUGUCCUUGUUCAUUCCUGGGCGCAGGCUAAACUAACUUUGGGAGAAACUUAGCUUAUAGUUUAUUGUUUAAACAAAGAUGGUAACAGCCCUUUCCCAAAGCAGACCUCCUUCUUGCCUGGGGACUAGAUUGCCUUUGUAGGGCUAACAUUAGCCAGAAGAUUAGAAAUUAUGGUUUGGGAGUUCAUGCAGCUGGAGGCUACAAGAUUCUGACCCUCCCUAAACUGCCCCUAAGAUCAGUGCCUGAGAUAUUUUGCAGACCCUUCACUUGAUGGAUCAGCUGGCACCACCCAGAUAGUUAAACUGGCUCUUCUGAUCUUGUGGCCCCCACCCAAGAACUGAUUGAACGCAAGAAGGCAGCUCUGACUCCCUAUGAUUUCAUCUCUGACCAAUCAGCACUCCUGACUCACUGGCUUCUCCCGACCCACCAAGUUAUCCUUAACAGCUCUGCUCCCUGAAUGCUCGGGGAGACUGAUUUGAGUAAUAAUAAAACUCGGAUCUCCCGCACAGCCAGCUCUGCACGAAUUACUCUUUCUCUAUUGCAAUUCCCGUCUUAAUGAAUCGGCUCUGUCUAGGUAGCAGGCAAGGUGAACCCCUUGGGUGGUUGCAGGUUAAGCAAAUAGGUCAGGUGAUUUUAUGUUCAUUUUAGCUGUAGAACUUUGUUCUAGUCUAUCUGAAAAGUUUUUAGACAAGAAAGUCAAGGGAGGUUUUCACGAUCAGUGGACUCUUCCUUUUUUUUUCAAAAAUCGAGUUGGUUCAAUGAGUAUUAUUUAUUGAGGGAACUCUUUAAAAUACUGAACAUUGUUAAUGACUUUCACGCGCGUCCGUGUGAAGAGACCACCAAACAGGCUUUGUGUGAGCAACAAGGCUGUUUAUUUCACCUGGGUGCAGGCGGGCUGAGUCCGAAAAGAGAGUCAGCAAAGGGAGAUGGGGUGGGGCCGUUUUAUAGGAUUAGGGAAGGUAAUGGAAAAUUACAGUCAAAGGGGGUUUGUUCUCUGGUGGGCAGGUGUGGAUCUCACAAAGUACACUCUCAAGGGUGGGGAGAAUUACAAAGGACCUUCUUAAGGGUGGGGGAGAUUACAAAGUACAUUUAUCAGUUAGGGUGGGGCAGGAACAAAUCACAAUGUUGGAAUGUCAUCAGUUAAGGCUGUUUUUACUUCUUUUGUGGAUCUUCAGUUACUUUAGGCCAUCUGGAUGUAUACGUGCAAGUCACAGGGGAUGCGAUGGCCUGGCCUGGGCUCAGAGGCCUGACAUUCCUGCCUUCUUAUAUUAAUAAGACAAAUAAAACAAAAUAGUGUUGAAGUGUUGGGGCAGCGAAAAUUUUUGGGGGGUGGUAUGGAGAGAUAAUGGGCGAUGUUUCUCAGGGCUGCUUCAAGCGGGAUUAGGGGCGGCGUGGGAGCCUAGAGUGGGAGAGAUUAAGCUGAAGGGAGGUCUUGUGGUAAGGGGUGAUAUCAUGGGGAUGUUAGAAGAAACAUUUGUCGUAUAGAAUGAUUGGUGAUGGCCUGGAUACGGUUUUGGAUGAUUUGAGAAGCUAAAUGGAAGAUACAAGGUCCGAAUAAAAGGAGGAGAAAAAUGGGUAUUAAAUGUCUAAGAAUUGGGAGGACCUAGGACAUCUGAUUAGAGAGUGCCUAAGGAGAUUCAGCAUAGUCCUGCCAGCAAAGAUUAUUUACUUCAAGAGUUAAGAGUGGCAGUUUGGGGAUAGCACCAGGAGAUAUCAGCUGUGAUGGCUUGGAGAAACAGUGUAAACCGGCAGUGUAAACAAGAGCAGGGCAUGUAUGAGUAGUUGAGAACGGUGAAUAGGAGUAUGACUAGACAGAAGAUAGUAGGGAUGACAAGUUUUUUGGGGCACAGUCUAAGUUGGUCUGGUGUCUGGAAUGAGACUGGGGCCUAAUAAAAAGGAGCGUCUAUACAGGAGCUUAAAUGGGAUGUACCUUGUAGCAUUCUGAGGACAGGCCUGAUUUCUGAGAAGGGAAAGUGGUAAAAGUAUUGUCCAGUCCUUUUUAAGCUGGUGGCUGAGCUUGGUGAGGUGUGUUUUUAAAAGACCUUUAGUCCGUUCUACUUUUCUUGAAGAAGGAGGACCGUAAGGGAUAUAAAGGUUUCACUGAAUACUAAGAGCCUGAAAAACUGCUUGGCUGAUUUGACUAAUAAAGGCUGGUCUGUUAUCAGACUGUAUAGAGGUGGGAAGGCUAAACUGAGGAAUUGUGUCUGACAGAAGGGAAGAAAUGACUGUGGUGGCCUUCUCAGACCCUGUAGGAAAGGCCUUUACUUUAUUCAGUGAAAGUGUCUAUUUAGACUAAGAGGUAUUUUAGUUUCCUGAAUCAGGGCAUGUUGAGUAAAGGUAAUUUGCCAGUCCUGGGUGGGGCAAAUCCUCCAGCCUGAUGUGUAGGGAAGGGAGGGGGCCUGAAUAAUCCCUGAGGAGUAGUAGAAUAGCAGAUGGAACACUGAGAAGUUAUUUCCUUGAGGAUAGAUUUCCACGAUGGAAAGGAAAUGAGAGGUUCUGAGAGGUGGGCUAGUGGCUUGUACUAUAGCAUAACCUGCCUUUGCUGGUGUGUGGCGAUUAGGCCUGGUGGAACUUCCAUCAAUAAAUCAAGCGUGAUCAGGGUGAGGAACAGGAAAGAAGGAAAUAUGGGGUGAAUAUCAGGUGGAUCAGAGAGAUACAGUCAUGGAGGUCAGGUGUGGUAUCAGGAAUAAUGUGGGAGGCCAGAUUGAAGUCCAGGCCAGGAACAAUGGUAAUUGUGGGACUUAAGAAAGUGUGAGUACAGCUGAAGGAGCCGGGGAGCAGAAAGUAUAUGCGUCAGGUAUGAGGAAGAAAAUAGAUUUUGGAAGUUAUGAGAAAUGUAGAGAGUGAGUUGAGCAUAGUUUGUGAUUUUGAGGGCCUCUAACAGUAUUAAAGCAGCGGCAGCGGCUGCACACAGACAUGAUGGCUAGGCUAAAACAGGAAGGUCAAGUUGUUUGGACAGAAAGGCUACAGGGUGCAGUCCUGGCUCUUGUGUAAGAAUUCUGACCACACUAACCAUGCCUAGGAAGGAAAGGAGUUGUUCUUUUGUAAGGGAUUGAGGUUUGGGAGAUUAAUCGGACACGAUCAGCAGGGAGAGCACCUGUGUUUUUAUGAGAAUUAUGCUGAGAUAGGUAACAGAUGAGGAUGAAAUUUGGGCUUGACUGAAGUAAUGGGGGCUGUCUGUGAAGCCUUGCGGCAGUACAGCCCAGGUAAUUUGCUGAGCCUAAUGGGUGUCAGGGUCAGUCUAAGUGAAGGCAAAGAGAGGCUGGGAUGAAGGGUGCAAAGGAAUAGUAAAGAAAGCAUGUUUGAGAUCCAGAACAGAAUAAUGGGUAGUAGAGGGAGGUAUUGAGGAUAGAAGAGUAUACGGGUUUGGCACCACGGGGUGGAUAGGCAAAACAUUUGGUUGAUAAGGCGCAGAUUCUGAACUAACUUGUAAGGCUUGUCUGGUUUUAGGACAGGUAAAAUGGGGGAAUGGUAAGGAGAGUUUAUAGGUUUUAGGAGCCCAUGCUGUAGCAGGCAAGUGAUAACAGGCUUUAAUCCUUUUAAAGCAUGCUGUGGGAUGGGAUAUUGGUGUUGAGCGGGGUAAGGGUGAUUAGGUUUUAAUGAGAUGGUAAGGGGUGCAUGAUCGGUCGCCAAGGAGGGAGUAGAGGUAUCUUAUACUUGUGGGUUAAGGUGGGGGGAUACAAGAGGAGGACGCAAAGGAGGCUUUGGAUUAGGAAUAAGGGCGGCAAUGAGAUGCAGCUGUAGUCCAGGAGUAGUCAGGGAAGCAGAUAAUUUAGUUAAAGUGUCUCGGCCUAAUAAGGGAACUGGGCAGGUGGGGAUAACUAAAAAGGAGUGCGUAAAAGAGUAUUGUCUAAGUUGGCACUAGAGUUGGGAAGUUUUAAGAGGUUUAGAAGCCUGGCCGUCAAUACCCACAGCAGUUAUGGAGGCAAGGGAAACAGGCCCUUGAAAAGUAGGUAAUGUGGAGUGGGGAGCCUCCAUAUUGAUUAAGAAGGGGACGGACUUACCCUCCACUGUGAGAGUUACCUAAAGCUCAGUGUCUGUGAUGGUCUACAGGGCUUCCGAGGUGAUUGGGCAGCGUCAGUCUUCAGCCGCUAAGCCGAGAAGAUCUGGGAAGGAGUCAGUCAGAGAGCCUUGGGCCAGAGUUCCAGGGUCUCUGGGAGUCGCUGCCAGGUGAGUUGAACAGUCUGAUUUCCAAUGGGGUCCCGCACAGAUGGGACACGGCUUAGGAGGAAUCCUGGGCUGCAGGCAUUUCUUGGCUUGGUGGCCAGAUUUCUGGCACUUGUAGCAAGCUCCUGUGGGAGGAGGUUCUGGAGGAACGCCUGGCUGCUGCGGUUCAGGUGUUUGGAAGUUCUUGUUUGCUGGAGAUGUGGCUGGGGUUUGUCUCACAGUGGAGGCAAGGAAUUGCAACUUUUUUUUUUUUAUUAUUGUACACCUUGAAGGCGAGGUUAAUUAAAUCCUGUUGUGGAGUUUGAGGGCCGGAAUUUAAUUUUUGGAGUUUUAUUUAAUAUCGGGAGCAGAUUGGGUAAUAAAAUGUAUAUUGAGAAUAAGACGGCCUUUUGACCUUUUAGGGUCUAGGGCUGUAAAGCGUCUCAGGGUUGCUGCCGAACGAGCCAUGAACUGGGCUGGGUUUUUAUAUUUGAUGAAAAAGAGCCUAAACGCUUCUGAUUUGGGAUAAAGAAAAAGGAGCAUUAACCUUGACUAUGUCUUUAGCUCCAGCCACCUUUUUAAGAGUAAAUUGCUGGGCAGGUGGGGGAGGGCUAGUCACGGAACGAAACUGUAAGCCGGACCAGGUGUGAGGAGGGGAGGUGAUAAAAAGAUUACAGGGUGGAGGAGUGGAGCCUGAGGAAGAAUUGGGACCUAGCUUGGCGUGGAGAGGAGGGGAGAGGUCAGAUGGGUUUGUAGAAAAGGAAGAUUAGACACACUCAGCAACGCCUGGGGUUGGGACUGAGGGGACAGGUGGGAGGGAAAGAAGGAAGAUUUGGGACGAGUUGCACUGGGCACAGAGACUAGGAAGGGACGGAUGUGUAAAAGAAUGCCUGGACAUCAGGCACCUCAGACCAUUUGCCCAUUUUUUGACAAAAAUUAUUUAGGUCUUGUAGGAUGGAGAAAUCGAAAGUGCCAUUUUCUGGCCAUUUAGAGCCAUUGUCAAGUUUGUAUUGGGGCCAAGCGGUGUUGCAGAAGAAAAUGAGGCAUUUAGGUUUUAGGUCAGGUGUGAGUUGAAGAGGUUUUAAGUUCUUGAGCACACAGGCUAAGGGAGAAGGAGGAAUGGAGGAUGGAAGGUUGCCCAUAGUGAAGGAAGCAAACCCAGAGAAAAGAGAGCGUAAAGACACGGAGGGAAGGGGUUUGGGGUUUCUUGCCCCCUAGAAAAGUGGGACUUGCUGCUAAGGGUGAAGGAGAAGGGGUUAAGGGGUACUUGCCCCUGCCCCAGGAAAGCAGGACUUGCCACUAAGGGUGAAGGAGAAGGGGUUGGGGGGUACUUGCCCCUGCCCCCUAGAAAAGCGGGACUUACCGCUAAGGGUGAAGGAGAAGGGGUUGAGGGGUACUUGCCCCUGCCCCAGAAAAGCAGAGAAGGGGUAGAGACAAGGAGAGAAGGGGUUGGGGUACUUGCCCUGUCCCCAGAAAAGCAGAGAAGGAGUAGAGACACGGAGAGAAGGGGUUGGGGUACUUGCCCUGUCCCCGGAAAAGCAGAGAAGGGGUAGAGACACGGAGAGAAGGGGUUGGGGUACUUGCCCCUUCCCCAGAAAAGCGGGACUUGCUGCUAAGGGUGAAGGACCAAGGCAGUUGUCCCUGCGUGGUCUGACACCCUUGAAACGUGGGUGUAUAAUCAGAGAGGCAUCCCUGCAAUGAUUAAACACCAAGGGAAGGCUGCCUUCCCAGUCUGUGACCAGCGCCGGAGUUUUGGGUCCACGGAUAAAACGUGUCUCUUUUGUCUCUACCAGAAAAUGAAAGGAAUUGAAAUUAAGAGAAGGGAGAGAUUGAAGUGUAGUGCCAAGAUUGAAAGGAGAAAGUGGUUGAGGGAUAGUGAGGGAAGUUGGAGAAGAGAGUAAAAAGAGGCUGCUUACCAGAUUUGAAAUUGGUGAGAUGUUUCUUGGGCUCGUCGGUCUGAGGACCUGAGGUCGUAGGUGGAUCUUUCUCAGGGAGCAAAGAGCAGGAGGACGGAGGAUUGAUCUCCCAAGGGAGGUCCCCCGAUCCGAGUCAUGGCACCAAAUUUCAUGUGCGUCCAUGUGAAGAGACCACCAAACAGGCUUUGUGUGAGCAACAUGGCUGUUUAUUUCACCUGGGUGCAGGCGGGCUGAGUCCGAAAAGAGAGUCAGCAAAGGGAGAUAGGGGUGGGGCCGUUUUAUAGGAUUUGGGAAGGUAAUGGAAAAUUACAGUCAAAGGGGGUUGUUCUCUGGUGGGCAGGGGUGGAUCUCACAAAGUACAUUCUCAAGGGUGGGGAGAAUUACAAAGGACCUUCUUAAGGGUGGGGGAGAUUACAAAGUACAUUGAUCAGUUAGGGUGGGGCAGGAACAAAUCACAAUGGUGGAAUGUCAUCAGUUAAGGUGGGGCAGGGCAUAUUCACUUCUUUUGUGAUUCUUCAGUUACUUCAGGCCAUCUGGGCGUAUACAUGCAAGUCACAGGGGAUGCGAUGGCUUGGCUUGGGCUCAGAGGCCUGACAAUGACCUGCUCUGUAUGUCCUCAUGUAACAUUAUUGCCAACGAAAUAGAUGCUCU